rnacentral:rRNA from 1 species
UACGGGAGGCAGCAGUGGGGAAUAUUGCACAAUGGGCGCAAGCCUGAUGCAGCCAUGCCGCGUGUAUGAAGAAGGCCUUCGGGUUGUAAAGUACUUUCAGUCGUGAGGAAGGUGUUAAGGUUAAUAACCUUAGCAAUUGACGUUAGCGACAGAAGAAGCACCGGCUAACUCCGUGCCAGCAGCCGCGGUAAUACGGAGGGUGCGAGCGUUAAUCGGAAUUACUGGGCGUAAAGGGCACGCAGGCGGUUAAUUAAGUUGGAUGUGAAAUCCCCGGGCUUAACCUGGGAAUGGCAUUCAAGACUGGUUAGCUAGAGUCUUGUAGAGGGGGUAGAAUUCCAUGUGUAGCGGUGAAAUGCGUAGAGAUGUGGAGGAAUACCGGUGGCGAAGCGGCCCCUGGACAAAGGCUGACGCUCAUGUGCGAAAGCGUGGGGAGCAAACG